AUUGAACGCUGGCGGCAGGCCUAACACAUGCAAGUCGAACGAGUGGCGGACGGGUGAGUACUGUCUGGGCAACUGCCUGAUGGAUGGGGCUAACUACUGGAAACGGUAGCUAAUACCGCUUACCGUCGGAUUUUCCCAGAUGGGAUGAGCUAGUAGGUGGGGUAAAGGCUCACCUAGGCGACGAUCCCUAACUGGUCUGCGAGGAUGACCAGACACACUGGAACGGAGACACGGUCCAGACUCCUACGGGAGGCAGCAGUGGGGAAUAUUGCACAAUGGGCGCAAGCCUGAUGCAGCCAUGCCGCGUGUAUGAAGAAGGCCUUCGGGUUGUAAAGUACUUUCAGCGGGGAGGCGUUACCCGCAGAAGAAGCACCGGCUAACUCCGUGCCAGCAGCCGCGGUAAUUC
rnacentral:rRNA from 1 species